AAAAAAGUAGCAGGAGUUAAAUCCCCUUGUUUUCCUAGUCUGUACAUGUGCAACAUCAUCCCCCUGCCUGCCUUCAGCAACGUUCCUCACCACCUUUGGCAUAUCCCCAAGCUCUUCUCCAGAGAGCUUUCCACAGCACAAAGAUGUCAAUAGUACAAAUAAUUAAUGUCAAGUGGCUGUCAAUAACUUCUAGGUCUAAAAACAUAACAAAUGUAAACCCUUGUUAAUUAAUUGCAUCCUACCCUGAAAAGUAAACAGUGAGCAAAUGAGGACGGAUGUUAUGGUGGUAAUGACCAGUGAUCAUUAUUUCCAGAGAAACACUGAGAGGAACAGCAACUUUGGCACCUGUUAAGUCCUUAUGGAGUUUCUUUAUCUCCCAUCAUCUUCUGCAAAUGACUUUAAUUUUUUUUUUUAGUUACAGAAAAUAGAAGUGUACAAACAUGAUAUUAAAAAAGAAAAAUAUAUAUUUAUUUUAAAUAUGAAUUACAUAGAAAACUACAUAGAAAUGCAGCAAAUGAGAAAUUCUGUAUUUCAACUUGUGUUUGUAAAUGGGAUGCUGGAGAAGAGAGCAACAAGUUUAAAUACAAAAGCUUUAGAUCACUUUGGUUUUGACACCUAAAAUAAUCUCCCAAGAAUGAGCAAGGAAGAGGCGAAGAGGUGAUCUGUCUAAUGUAUUACUAUUACCUUUGGAAUAAUACCAGCCUGUCUAUUUUCUCCCAUUUGUACACGCAAUCUGACCCAAAGCCAGUCGUGGCCUCUCUUUCCCCCCAGUUUCCUGUCCGCUACACUAAGAACUGGAUGAGAGUGCAGUGAAAACAAGAUCUUCCUUGAGGGCUGAUUUUCAGAGCACAGGUGACCAUGACUAUCAGUGUCCUGAUGUAAUGAAUAGGGCUUUGUGAGAGAAGGGACCAGCAACCACCUCCAGUUUUCCCACACACAUUCCUAGUGUUCUACCCUUGAACUUUGUCUUCUGCAAUAGGAAGACUUCCAAGUAGAAGACUUCCAAGAAUGACAUUUUCAUGGCUAGUGCCACCGUGGGAGGAUGAUAUCUGAAGUUCUUUUAGUCUGGAAUAGGAAAAAAAGUGAAAAGGGAAAAAAAAAUCUGUGAGUCGUUGAGCCUAUUAGGUACCACUGAACUGAAAUCAGCUUUGUUGCAAUAAAAAUAAACAAAGUUCUCCAAAGCGAGCUUCUUAAUGCUGGUAGUGCUAGAUAUUCUUCUGUCUGCACAGCACAAUUUGUGGGACACGACGAUUUCUCUCAAAUUACUCUGUGGAGUCUCUUUGGAUGCUUAGAAGAAUGGGUCUCCUAGCUCUGGUGGAGUAGCAGGGUUAUUAAAACAUGGUGAGCUGUACUGAUUUCUGCAAUUAAUCAUGACUGAUUUAUCACUUGAUUGUAGAAAUGCAGCCUAAAUAGAUUUUUUCCAUCUCCCUUGCUCCCUAAUUGAUUUUUUUUUUUUUUUUGGAACACUGAAGCUUUGACUUCCUCUCAUAAAAUAGAUUAGAGUCAUUAAGACUGUGAGCUGUAUAAUCAUUCUGCUGCAUAAUUACUGUUACUACUGUUGUCUUCUGGUUUACAGUGUUUCUUUAUUAGCAGCUCCUACUGCCAGAAGGUUUAAGCAUUUAAUAAUCUGUCAAGGUGGUCUUUUGCUUGUUUUUUUUUUUUUUUUCUUUUUAACUUGAAGACCUUUUUGGCAAUAUCUUUAAACACCUGGCCAGGUCAGGUACUUUAAUACUCACUUAUCUCUGUCUAGUUGGCCUCACAUUGCUUUUUUAAUUAGUCGUCUUCUGGAUAGCCAGUUACUCAUUCAUCAUAUAUGAAAUGUAAGCAAGUCACAUGCAACAAUAACAAGCAGUUGGAAAUCAGAGCUUCCAGACAUGUUAUUGAGAUUGAUGGCCAUAGAGGGCACAUCAAGCAAGCUUUUAUCAGUUAGCAUAAGCAAAAGAGCCUGACCUAGCAUUCAUAGUAAAUGCAGGCUGCAGUGGUUUCCACAACACAGAGGAUUUAUACUUCCUGAGGAGUCCUGCUAGGCCUUGUCUCAGUGCUGAUGUGUCCAUCGGACUCUGGCCAUCCCAGAAGGGUGGGGAUGCUGAUUUAUGGUGUUUUGCUGCAGUGGUGGACAUUGGUCUGCUCUGGGGUCCAAGCUGCAAGGUGCAGCAGUGCCCAACAUGAGAGGAGCACUGAGCCAGGCAGCCCUGUCUCCCACCAGGACAAGGCUCUGAACAUCCUGCCGAAGCGGCUACUCCUAACGCAAAGCACCUGCUGCAGCCACAGGUGCGGGUUAGCUCUUAGCCUGCAAGAGAAUCAGAGCCUGGAGAGCAUUGGGAAGCACUGGGAGAAAUGAGCAGUUCACACCAGAUUUUUGAAACUAGAGAUGUGGCUGUCGAUCAGCAGGUACAGGGUUGAGGCAGUGAGCAAGAGAUCAAUUCUCCCUGUCCUUGCGCAAGAGGACAAAACGUAAUGGAAUUCCCUAUGUUACAAGUGAGAAGAAAUUUCUCAGUGCUAGAAGAUAGGGAAGCCUUGGAACAGAUGGCCUGGGGAUCUGGUGGCAUUUCAGCUGCUGGCAAUCACUGCAGAGGGAGAGAGAGACAAGUCUGUCAAAAAUGACAUAGAUAUAAUAGAGCCUCCCUCUUGGCAAGGCAGCGGGUCAGGUCGCCUCUUAAUUCUCUUUCCUGGCUGGCUCACUCUGUGUGUGCAACUGCAAACCAGAGGGAACAGAAAUGCUGUGAUUUGCAUGGACUGGUCCUCCCAGAAGCUGAAAACAAAAAUGCAGAGCAGUUUUUGAUGGACACAAAAAGAAUGAAAUCCUAAUGAGGGUAGUGAAGAAUUAUAACUGCAAAGAAUGAAGAGACAAAGAUUAAAAGUGGAAAAGAAUAUACAUAUUUUUAAAUAAAAUCUUCUGGACUACUGACAUCUUUGUAAUUAUGUGUUGGGACAGUGUUUCCUAUUAUUUUAGAAUUUCUUCAGUCAUUUGGAGACAAGAGCAAAGCCAAACAAGGGAGCAGGUAAGUGCGUAGAGGAGAUAUCUUCAGCUGUUACCCAUCAUUUCUGGAUGUGGGUGAGGAGUUAGGCAAGUUAAAGUCAAGAAUUAUUCUCAGGUGUUGGAUAAAGAGAAGAGUCCCAACUCUAUUAAUGUCUUCUCUGGUCCCAUCUAUGGCUUUACUCUGCAAAACUCUUUCUGUUCUGGAUUUGGGACCCCAACAACUGCAGGCUCCUGUAGGCCUUCUCAUCCCUGCGCUGUUCAGUGACCUACACUGAAGACAGCAGGAAGAUGGUGAUGCCCCUACAAUUAAUUGCCAGAAUAUGUGGAAAAAGAAGCAAAGAUGAUGUGGAGUCUGAAGGUCACUGCAGGGAGGAUGUGCUGAGUCUUACUGUGAACAUUAAAGGAAAAUCUAAACCUGCUCAGGAAUUAUGGGCUCUUGAACUCUGACUGACCUCCUCCAGUAGAUUUGCUUUUAGAGAAUAUUGUUUGAUUAGUGAUAUUAGGUGUCGAGCUUUUGUUGAUUUUUUUCACUUGGAAAGGGUGUAUAUUUUGAAGUAAUGACUGGUCAAAGAGGAGGAGUAUCAGUGCAUUUCAAGGAGCAAAGUGUGAGAGAUUUUCAGCUUGAUCUCAGAAAAUUGAUGUAGUCCACAUUGCAUACUGCACUGCACCUCCAGUUUGGACAGGAGAGGAGCUGUGUUAGCAAAUGCUCAACCAAAUGUAAAAACAUUGCUAAAGUAAUGGACUCCAACAAAGAUCCAAUUUCACUUUAGGGAGAUAAAUGGUAACAUACUGGGAGGACCGUGCUGUGGAAGCGGUGCAGCUGAUACCUUUGUUCAGCGUCUUGCUUUUCUCUUUUCAUGCUAUGCAUACGGCUACAGAGCAGCACAACAUGCUGUGCUGUCCAUGCACAGCGUUAUCCACUGUUCGGUGGGUAAGGCACACUUUGUGUAUUCAUGUCACAUCUCUGGCAGGGCACUGAGAGCUUCAGAAAAACAGGAGCUGAAGGAGCUCACUGGAGACAUUUCAGUAGGACAGCUUGCUUUUUCAGAUUUUAAGCUGUAAUUUGUUUAAGUGUAAUUAAUUUUGUUUUUCUGAGAAGAGCAGAAGGAUUUCAGUUCCAAGGAACUGAACAUGAAAUGAAGUGCCACAAAAAUAAAUAAAUAGAUGGAUAGAUGCUUUUCCAAAUGCCUAUGUAACCGUAUAGUCUCUGUUUUGAUAGAAAUAACAUCUUUUGUCAGAAACAGCUUCUGACAGUAGCUUCCUCCCCAGAUAAAAGUAACAGUUUUAAAGCUAAUGUUUUUUUUUCUGUCACCAAACCUAAGCAUAAGCAACCCCACUCAAGGACUGCUAAUAGUGGACUACUGAUGAGCUGUAAACUGAAGACUUCUCAGCCUUUAAGCAUCUCCCUAAUUUCAUAUUAUGCAGCUGUUGUUGGCAGUAGAUUUGGUUAAAAUGACAUCACCUUCGUUAAUUCAUGCUCCUGUAGAAUCAAUUGGACAGCCUCAAAUAGAGUAUUUUACCUUUUUCCACGCAAGAUAUAUAAGAUGUCUUGAAUUUAAAAUAAACAAAAUAGAACAAAAUCGAAAAAAAAAAAACCCAUAACCUUCCAUUCUUAUUACAGCAGAUGUAAGGAGACUCUUCUUGACUUUGAUUGUGCAAACACUGUGGCCAUUUGGACAUAAGAAGACCCAGUUGAAUAGAAAUUGAAGACAUACCUGUCCUAGUACCUCAGAUGGUCUGCUUUCCACAUUGUUGUUCUGAGAAGAUGAUGAUAGGGAAUCUGUUUUUUCUUCAUGCCCAUCUCUCUACAUGCAGACAAAUAUUGUCAAGAGUCCCCACAUUGCAGCAGAGCCUUGAGUGCGUGGCAUUGCCUGAAACUUGUGCUCCUUGAUUGAUCUGAAUCCUUAAGAACAGGGAAGGAUUAGUGAGUACUGCUUCUAUUAACUCCCUUUUGGUCCCACUGCCUUUCUGGCUUUUUCUGGCCAUUCUCAGAUUGACCUUGGGUUGUAACAGAUGAUGGGGGAAAAAAAAUACAAGGCUUUUAAAUACGUCAGAUAGCGCUCUCUUUAAAAAAAGAAAAAAAAGUCUGUUUAAACAGCUGGGACUGGAGUUAAUUUGUGAAGGCCUGUUUGUGGUAUAAGUUCCACAGGGAAAGCUGAAAUGAAGAAAGGAUAUAAUACCCUUCUUUAUGAAAAUAAACAAAACCCUUGAAGCUAGUAUUGCUUAACCCUAGCAUAGAAAGAUGCAGGACUUUUGCUUCUCUUUUUGCUAAGCAAAAUGUAUACAGAGAUUAUAUAUAUUUUUAAAGGUAGCAAGCAUCUUUGGAGAUGGUGCCAAAAAACUGGUAAAAUAGUAUACUCUCUGCCUUUUGGCUUACCCUACACUAAACGUUAUUAGUGUCCCACAGUCAGCUACAUCUUUCUGACAUUGAAUCCUCUUUGCACUCUGAAGAUCGUAACAAUGAAAUAAUUAAACUCAGAUACAUGACACUGUGGAGUCAUGACUGUGUAUGAGGACACAAUUCCCCAUCUGGACAAGGAGAAAUGUUCUAUAGCAGUUAUGGGCAGUUGUAAGUGAAGUAGCUAAUUCAUCUUAGUCACAAAAUCAGGGUGCAAAAUGACCCCACUUGGUUCAUGACACUGUCUAUAUCUAGGGAGUCUGCACAUGAGUUACGAAUUCCGGCUUGACUUAUUGAACCUGGUUUUAACUCUUGAUAAUUGUCUUGGUUUCUCUUAUAUCUUUUCUCUCUCCUGUGAUGUUUCCUUUGGUUCCUGUGCUUUGUAAAAGACAAUUUAUUUAUGAGCUGAUUUGUUGAGAUCUAUCCAGGAUCUGAUGAUUUGGCCUGCUCCUGAAAGAGGCCUACUACAGGUAAAAUGAGCUUUUUAUUGUGUCACCGCAGGGGCCAGGGCACAAAAUAUCAGGCAUAGUUUGAGACUGGAGUAUAAGGCCUAGACUCGACCAAGAAGUAGUAAAAACAGCACAUUUAUUUUCUAGUUAGUGGAUACCUCUGGUCAGUGAGUCCCACCUUUUGCUGAAGCUGCCAUAGGUUCCUGAGCAAAGAAAGUCUAAGCUUUUCCUAGUAACCUAGUAACCAGGUCUGAAUGCACUAGCUGUUUGGUUUUGUGUUUUCUUUUGUUCGAAAGCUGAAACUUGCAUGCUCAUUUCUGAAAUGGCCGAGCAUCUUUGGCCCUGUGGAUGUCCCUUUCCCUCUCAACCUCAACGUCAAGCUGCAUGGAAUUGGCCGUGUAACCCUAAAACAGCUUCACCAUCUGUUACCAUACAGGAACCCACAUUUAGACUGGUGACACUGAUAACACGCCUUUUAUUUUUUCCUUCUUCAAUCAUGCUGAGACCGAGGAUAAUUAUCAUACUUCUUACAAACCUGUUCUUGUAGCUGAUGCAAAACCUUGUAAAGGCAUGUUAAAAUAACUUGCUUAAGCAUGGUAAUUUUCUAAAAAGUAAGGAUGCUGGAAAACAGAACAAACUCAUUUAAGGAUUCAUAGGAAAAGAGUGCUGGCUAUUUAUAAUCUCAGGAUUUUAAACAGAAUAACGACUCAAAAGUGUGCAGUGAAUUUUGGUUGUGAAGAAAGCAAAGAUGGAAGCUUGAGAAAUCAGCUUCUGAUGUAUUAAAAAUAAAAAUCUGUGAAGUGUCUUUUCUCUGCUUGGACUAAAGAAGCCUUCCAUGUGAUCCUGGCAGAGGCAGAAAGACUUGGUUGGCCUGAAUGAAAUAAAUCACUGCUCUUAAUACAAUAUUAGUUUGAAGCAAGCUCUGAAUUCUAACCUCUGUAGGCCUGAGAUAGUCAGUAGUUUGCACAUGCACAGCUGAGAAGCUGUUGAUCUUCUUGUUUAUUUUUUCUGCACUAAUUAUCCUAAUCUUUGUAAAACAUGUUAUUCCAUCUUAUACUCCAUAGAUUAAAGCCAGAAUUACUAAUAAACAGGAUUUUUGCUGCCUUGUUGUAAAAUGCUUGUGGUGUCAUUAGGAGCAGUCGGAGCUCUUUACAUUCCUGACCUAUGACUCAAAAUGGAUGUGUAAUUCAGAAUAAGCACAAUGGUAAGGACUCUCCUAUUCGCACUUAGUGUCUUUGAUGGAGAAAGCAAACAUCUUCUUUAUAAUACUUAUCAAGUUCAGCUGAGAAAUAGGCUUAAAAAUAUGACUUCUUUUGUAUAGUUCCAAGCUUGUUAGCCUUGUUGGCCAGUACUGGCAAUAUUUGAUUUCUCUAUAAUAGAAAUCUUUUUUAAUAGCAUUAGAGUUCUGGCCUCAGAAUUAUGCAGAGAGCUGACAACAACAACAUCUGAGAUCUAAUUCCUGUAUUUUUUUAGGACUACAUCUUUUUCGAGCAUGUCGGCAUAUCAUCACUGGACCCAAACUUCCUAGUUAGAAAGUGGCACUUCCCUGAAGUUCAGUAUGUUUCUUGAGCCCUAUUCAGAAGCCAGUGCUUCCUGUAUGCAGUUUCUGAUGCAAACUGCCUAGCAUAAAUUUUCUGUUUCCAUGGCUGUAUCUGACCAAGGUGUGGACAUUUGCCUUUACAGUCAUCUGUAUCAAUGCAAAAGCAAGAAAUAAGUUCAGAACCUGAGAUAUUUAUGUAAUUGCUACGUGGGGUUUUUUUUUGUUAGGUUUUUUUUUUUUUUUUUUUUUUUAGAUUUCCCUUCCCUUCAGUGCUGUUAAUUUAUUUGAUAUAUCACAGCUUGCAGUCUUUCCAAACUGUCUGGUUAUCUCAGUGCAUGACAUCCACUUGUCGCAAGUACAAGUUGUCCCUAAGUAACCCAACAGGUCAUUUCAAACACAGCCUUUCUAAAAGGGAAAGUGUAAUGAAUAGAGUUAGAGACAAUUUGGGAAUCAAAAAUAAAACAGAGCUCACUCACAGAGGCAAAAAAUCCUAAGGGAGCUCUUUAUGUACAGGACAUAAAUCUUGCCGGUUGUAGUCAUUAAGAGACAUGGGUAUCAAGGCCCAGGAGGAGAGAUUUGCUAGACCAUUAAUAACAUAGGCAAAUUACACCCAGCUAUGAAACUGCAAACAGAAUCAGAGUUGUGACACUAUUUGCACAUCGUCACCAUAACCUUGAAAUUAAUCUUUCAUCCUUUAGCAUUCUCAAAUCUAUUGCAAGUAACUUUGCUAUGAUAACAGUUCAGGCAUCUUUCAUGCCAGUGCUCUUUGGUGGCCAUACUGUGAAGAUGUUGAUGAAAAAAGAGAGACCAUUUUAUAUGGAGUUUUUGUGCACAAUGAGUAUUGCUCCAAUUGUGUCCAAAUGAGAAGUGUGUGGCUUGAUCUUAUAGAUGUUGCCGACUCACCUGAUGAAAAAAAUACAGUAUUCUGAAAGAUAGCUUCACCGUUCCCAUGGUCCUCUUAAUUAAAAAACUAAUUGAAAAUCAGUUCUGAAUGAGCUUUCUCCCUGCAGACAUGAUCUUUCCCUCAUAUUUCCUUCAAGAAGUUCUUUUGAAGUAUCAGAAAUGUAAGCAGUGAUCAUGGACUGAGGCUGAGAACAGUCAGGACUCAUUUAAAAGUGCCUCUGGUACACAUCUGAUAAUGAAAACCUGGACUGAGUCAGCAUUUAUUUGACCUACCAGCAAAUGGAAAACUUACAAAAGCUCAUGGACUUUCCAUCUAAGACAGAUUUGGGAGUCACUGGCAUAGAUAUGUGUAUGGGAAUUGUUGAAUAAUGGUGUGAACCUCUGAUUGACCACCUGAGGUGAGCACUGAGUCAGCCUUGGGAGCACAGGUGGAGGCAAUUCAGCUGUGUGACUGGAAGCAGUGGAGCCAGGCUGCACCUCUCCUAGACUCCACGUAAAGGCUGACUGCCACUGAGGAAGGAUUUCUUCCUGGAGAUUGCUCCUUGUGGAGUUUUCUUGCAAGCCUCCAGCACUGGUGAGCUUGUUUCCAUUUAUUUCUGAUUAUCUUUUCCAAAGUGAUAAUCUUUCCAGUUAUAUGUCCUUGAAAGACUAGCCUAACUUCACUGUUUAGUUGUUGAUUAUACAUCUGUGUACUCGUUGAUUAUACAAUAUGGAAUUUCAGAUUACAUUACAAUUAGAGAAUUGUAGGGGUUGGAAAGGACCUCAAGAGAGCAUAGAGCCUAAUUGCCCUGCUAAAGCAGUUCCCUGCAGUAGGUUGCACAGGUAGGCAUCCAAACAGGUCUUAAAUAUGUCCAUAGAAGAAAACUCCACAACUCUGGGCAGCCUGUACCAGUGUUCUGUCACCCUUACUGUAAAAAACUUCUUCCGCGUGUUUCUAUGGUUUUUCCUUUGUUCAAGUUUUAGACCAUUACUCCUUAUCUUAUUGCUAUGCACUACUGAGAAGAGCCUGGCCUCGCCCAUUUGCUUCCCACCUCCCUUUAGAUCUUUAUUAACAUGAAUCAGAUCCUGCUUCAGUCUUCUUUUCCUCAUACAGAAGAUGCUCUAGGCCCUUUAUCAUCCUGUAUCUUAUCAUCCACAAUAAUGAGGAUAUAUCACAACCCAAGAAGCUCCUAGUAAAAUGCGUGAGCUUUCUAAUGGAUCUCUGUAGGAAAAAUGUUGUCUUAGGUAAGAUAUAAUUUCCUUGAGGCUCUGCCAGUUAAGGUACCAGCCAGAGAAGUGUGAGAUUGUACAGUGGAGCCACCAAAUAUUUAAUGAAAAGACUUUCACAGAAGUUGAUCAAUAACAGAAAAACAGUGUUACUGUUGUACACAUUCCCAAAUGCAUAACCUUGGUGAAAAGCAAGCCGAAGCCGUGACAGAUCACUUCCUUAAAUCCUCUCCAAGUUAGCAGUCUGUUUCUGUUAGUAAUGUGCCUCAUGGUUCCCAUUUGCACCAACUUUCAGGUGAAUGCCUGUUUCACAGCUGAAAAAGAGAUCGACUGGAUUGUGGGGCUGGCCAAAACAUCCUUCUGUCCUAAAAUUCCUUUUUACUGUCUCUUCUCUAUUCCUCAUCUGCCAGUUUCACAGGUAGCAUUCAUACCAGCCCCAAAAUGAAGUUGGCAUUAUUAUUAAUUCCUACUUCCACUGAGGUCAGGCAAUGGUUUUGAACUACUGUUGUUUUUUCGGUUUGUUUGUUCUCAAAUCUAAAGUAUCUGUGUUUGAACGUAAGGUCAUCAUUUGCAGGUCAACUUGAGCUUGCUAUUUGUUAGUUCCCUUAUUUAAUAUUGUUAGAUGUACUGUCAUAAUGUCCACAGAGAGGACGGUUGCGAAACCGUCAAUCUGUCUCAUGCAAAUGAGAAAUGGAAAAGUGAUCUUAGGUAAAAGGAAUAUCAUAAAAAUCUCUGCCUUCUGAAGUGACACAUUAUCAAAAAGGUUGGGAGCAAGGUGCGAGGAUUGCUCUUAACCCCAUGUUCAUCGUGAAUCUCUUUCCUAAUCCCUUUGCAUUCGUCCUGCUGUACCUUUAUUAAAGAAAAAAAACAUGGAAAAGCAAAGAGCUGGAAAUACAUUGGAAAGGAACAAACCAUGAGUUAAAUUAAUGCUACCACAGGUGAGUAGCACCAAUGAUAAUUCCUCCCUGUGCAAUGGUGCUACGGUUUCGGAUGUGAUGUAUAUUCUGAUGUACUUCUCAGAGGAGAAAUGAGGCCAGUGAGUAAUUGUCAUGUCAAAUAAUCAAAUAAUUGUUUUUCAGCCUGCUGUAGAUUACUAUUGAUGGCAAGAACUGCCAGGAGGCAUUCGUACUUUGAAAGGAUCAGAGCAGUGUGCAAGGACUGCCACAGCAAAGCUGAGAUCUGACCCCAGAAUAGGGCAUAAAUACAGCACCAGAGGGCAAGAGAAAGAAGGGGGCUAUGCAAGAGGCCAGCAAUGGCUCCAGUGUGUGAAUGUUGUAGAUUUCUUUACUUGAUUUUUGGGUUUGUUUUCUCAGGCUGAUGUUUUGAGAUCACAAUCUGUCCCUCAGGAAAGCCUAUGCUGGUGAUCGUGCUGCCUCAACUGAUGGGCUGCACAUUUGGAUUUGUUCUCCUGAACAUGGUAAAGGUGAUGGCCAUAAGGGCUCAUUUUGUAAAGGAAUAAUGCUCCCUUAGGGUUUCCCUUUAAGAAAGAUACAUCUCAAAGGUAAAGAGAAGAGAUUCUGGCUACAAUUCACAUUUAAAAAAAAAAAAAAAGAGUCAAAAAAGACCAUGUUGAUUACAUGCAUUUGUAAUGUGGAAAUGCAUCCAGCAAGUGAGUGAAUUAGCUUUGGAUGCCCAUAAUGUCUACCUCGGAUAUGCAAUGCUGUAGGGUUAAUCAGACAAGUAUCUUAGAGUAAAGCAUUUCUAAUGUUUAUGGCACUGACAUGGGGUUCUGGACUGAGGAGAAAAAUACAUAAUGAUUAAACACAGAAAUAGACAAGGCAGGUGGUGGUUAAUGAGCAAGUUUGUUGCACCUUUGCUUUUGUAGUGAGGUAAUUUACUGAACCUUUGUAAGCUUUUGAAAACUCUAAGAUGUAAGAUUAUCUAUUAUUUUAUUCUGAAUUUUACUUCAUUGUUUUUUUCCCAAUCAUUUAACAGUGAGGAAUAUUCAGAAUGCAUCAAGUAUACUAAAAAAUUAAGAUGUAUAUGGAUUGCAAACAAACAAAACCUGUAUUUUAGAAUUUUUUUCAGAAAAAAAUUAUUUAACUAUUUAACCAUAAUUGCCAAAUAGCUUUAUUGCAUUUGUGUUUUAUAUUUUAUCUUGCCCAGUUAAACUUCAUCAUAAUCAAUAAGCCAGUUCUCAUCAAGGGAUAGAACACUGAUAAUUAACUUUGUCUUCAUGUCAACAAAAUCAUUUUAAGAAUUUUGAAGUUCACUUUAGGAUUAAAAAAGGUAACCAUGUUUAGCUAUACAGACAUGAUCAUUUUGUUCCAUAUCAGUUAUUAAACAAAUAGGAAAGCAUGAACUGACUUUGAAGGGAGCUAUUCUGUGGGUAUAUAGACUAGAAGUUGAUUAUGAAGAUCUGAUGCCUAACAUCUAGCAGCUGGUUCAAUGUCAGUGAUGGAGAUACUAUCUAUUAGUUGAAAAAAAAAAAAUAGGAAAGGGUGACAUUCCAGUAAGGUUUCCAUUGGUGAUUUUAUCACUACAUUGUUGAUGGUGUCUUGCUAUUGAGAAUGAUUUAUAAUACGUAGAUAUCGAAGAUAUAGAGGAUAUGAAAUAGAGUUGCCGUCUUUCAAGUUCUGGUUCAAUGAACCUGUUACUUUACAUUUCUCAAUUCUGUUUUAUUAUAAAACUGGGUUGCUGCUUUCACAAUUAGCUCAGCUUGUCUGACAGAUAAAAUAUUCCUUUUAGGACAAGACUUGUAGCACAUGCGCAAUCUUUAUGUGAGCUGAUGAAUCCACCUAGAUCAGCACAGUAUGUACAAUUCUGUUGUAUUCAGUAGUUGCAGACAUGGACACAUUGUUUUCUGAACCAAAAAAAAUACAUAUAUAUCCUGCAAAAUUUGUCUCUUGUUUUGUUGCUGUAGCAGUCCAAUAGUUCUUCUACACAGAGACUAAGCAGGGGUAUACUAAAAUCCUGGCACCCAAGGAAUGAAGGGCACUGGUUACCUAUGCAAGCACAGACACGAUGCACAUCUACACCGAAAUUAUAAUUUUAGAAGAAAUUUGAGCUUCUUCGUCAUAUCUCACAAAUAAAUAAAAUGCAGUAGCUCUUGCCACAUGUAACAGUAAUUUACAAGCUAUAUAUUUCUAUUCUCACUGAUGCCCCAAGAAGGGGUAGAUUCUUGUCUCUGAACUUGCACAUCAGAUACUCCUUUAUUUCUGUCAUCAUUAGCAAAAUUAAGCUAUUUACAUUACCUGACUGAAGCUUGGUAUAUCCACCCUUGCUUGCUCAAAGUACUAUUCCUGUACUCUGUGUAAAUGAUGCAGGCGUUUCCUUCUUAAACUGUGGGUUGAAUUUCAAUAGGUACUAAAUAAAAGCAGCAAUACUUUCCAAGAUAUUAGCUUGUAAACUUUAACUGUUUAACCUUUCAUUUUCUAUUACUUGUCAUGCUUAUAACAUAGUUCUGUAUCAUUAGGAUUUAUCGUAAAUGGUUGAGUUGGUGAAUAAAAACAAAUGAAAUAGAACAUUUUCUGGCACCAAAAAAAAAAGAAAAUAAAAAAAAAAAAAAGAAGAAAUUAUUGAAACUGUCUUGACAGCUAAAGCAUCCGAACUGAAGAUGCUUCUUAAAAUGUUAAUAAUCAGACUGUAUUUUUGAUCAACAACUUCAUGCGGCAGAGGAAUAAAAAGCCAAACUAAGGUUAAGGCAGCCUUUGGCAAACAUAAAUGAAUGUGUAGAAGCCACACAAUUCAAAUUGACAUUUUCUACAAACAAAGGCAACUCUACACUGUUCAAUAAUUGAAAAAUCCCUGUGGCAUGAACAUACAUAAUGAUGGGCAGCAAAAAUACUUCAUCUUCCUUGCAGUGCUUGUUGUGGGUUUCAUGACUGGAGGUUGCUGAAUUAUUCAUAGCAAGCAGUUCUUAUUGUGGAUUUGUCUCCUUUUUGCAUUCAGAAUUCAAGAGAUGCUGUAACUCAGUCAGAAGAGGCUGGGAUAUGAAACUCACCAGGUCAACUCCACAGUCCAGAUGUAGCACUGAGAUGAGAGAAUUAAAAUGUCUUUUUGUGGAAUCACAAGUGAAGCUUUUAAAAUUCUAUUUUUUCCUCUAAUUGUUCUUAGUAGUUAAUCAUGCAUGCAGAUGUCAUACAAAUUAUUUUUCAUCCUAUGUGCUACUCGGCUUGCUGCUUGAACUUGUCGCUCUCUAGUCUCACACCGUAUCUGGACAUGCACCUCUAUUCAUGCAUCUCAUCACAUUUGGUGAUGCAAAUCCAAAAAGAGAACUGAAUGCAAGAAGCUUCACAGUCAUAGUGCUUUCUAGCAUACCUGUUAAUCAGCUUUGGUAACCUGAAAGAUAAGCAACUAUUUCUAGCAAGUGUAAAUUUGGCUUCAUAUAAUCAUUCUCUGCCAUGGCCACUCAAUUUAGUCACUGAGUUUAGGCAGCCCACAAUUUUCCUCAGGUCACCAGCCUAGGAGCACAAGUUCCUUGUGGUAAGGAAAAAAAUCACAAAAACUUAACUGUAAAAGUAUGGAUGGUCUUUCACGUCAAUCAAGCUUAAUGAGUAUCCUGUUCAACUGAUACACAGUCAGCCUAUAAAUUAUGAUAUAUAUAAAUGAUAUAAAUGAUUCACAGACCAGGUUUCUCAUGACAUUCAUCAUCUUUGAUGAGAUACAGUUAGAUUGUGACCAUUUCAUGUGUGGAUAAGGCAUUUAGACAGUCAACAUGCUAGAUGGGCAAUGGGGAAGAUUCAUACUUCUGGUCGUGGUGCCAAUAAAAGGCUCAAAUAUAUUCGGCUCUUCCAUCUUAAUUUCUAAACAAGUGGGCUACAAGGGCCGGCUUAUUGUUUCAUAUAGUACUGCAACUUGUAAGCAAAGUACCUGAACUGGUUGUGACUUGAAAGAGAGCUCACUGACUGGGUUUUAAUUUUUACUAACCCUUUUGCAUAAUAUAUUUUAUUUUAUUUUGAAUUAGCUUUUCUAGUAAAAGAUUUUUGAAGGGUGUAAAAGCUUUCACCAUUAAGCAUUACCAAUCUCUCUCUGCAGCGUGAAUCUUUUAAAUUAAAAAUGCUCAUUCACUUUGACAUACUAUAGAAUGCAGAAUUUUUUAAAUACGUUAGAUCCUUGAGGUCCCUUCCAACCCAAGCCAUUCUAUGAUUCUAGUUUGUCUUUAGAACUGUAUGCUAAAUUACAUCAAUCUGCAAUGUACUUGACUGUCCAGAUGAAGUUUUCAUGUUGUUCUUGCUAAGGUUAUAUAAAGGAAUUAAAUUUAUUUAAAAUACUUCGGUAGUUAAGAAAGAAAUUUUUCCAUUUCUCAUAACACUUUUUUAGAAUUCAGCAAGCCUUUUGAGAAUUGCUUUGUAUUAUAAGCAACAAAAUCUGGUAAUUAAGCAAGGGAAAGGAAGGUAAGUACUAAUAAAUCUACCUUCUAUAAACUUGAAUUACAAUGCAAAAAAAAAAAAAAAAAAAAAAAAAUUGCCAAGAGUGGAAAAGAAUGUGGCAGAAAGAAGUCUUCAACCUCAGGUAUUUUUUUUAAGCUGUAAAUGUUAAAAUAAGCUCCUUCCAGCUUGUUUAGUCCCCACUGCUCCACCUAAAUUUUCUGUGCUUGAUAUUACAGUGCACUAAAUACGAUGAGUCAUUAUUUUCCUUGAGACAAAAAUCACAGUACAUUUUAUAAAUGAUUUGGAUGGGUGCAAAAUGUAAAGAUUCAAAAUAGAAAAUUAAAUCAAGUAUAGGAAAGGGAAACAGAUUUCCACACUUGGGAAGCCAAAGAAGAAAAAAUAUUUUGUCAUUAAAAGUUAGAAAGAGAUACAGAAGAAGUUUCAAAUGAAUGUUUGAAUAGUCCAAGUAAUUUAAAGAUGACCAAAGUAAGUAAGAAAUUCAGCUUUUGUUUUAAUCUGGCAAAGGAAAAAUUGGUACUAGUAUCCUAGUAUCACUGAAAUGUAGUAAUACAUUAUAAAAAGGAAAAUCACCAUUCACUUCUUUAAGUUCUAGCUUCUCCUCAUUUUAAGACCAUUCUAGAUGUAGAGUUUUCUUUAUGAGAGUCAACAUUAUUGUUUCUCUCCCUGUGUGGUAGUGGAGUGGGUGAACAGGGGAAUUUUUAUUUUCCAGCCCUUGCUAGCUAGGAAAAAAAGGGCUUUCCUCAGAGACCAAAUCCAUCUAGAGUAUGGAUCCAGUCAUAGUAGAGCUAACCCAUACCUCUUGCUUGGGCUGGUUAUGUCUUGCUACUGUGAAGAAAACCACCAGGGCACAGCUAUGCUCCCAAAAUACUUCUUUCCAACAUAUUUUUUGUUUUCUCUUCUCACUACCUGUGCUGCUCGCUGAGUUACAAAUGCACACCUUGAUCAAGGCAUUUGAGGUGGUGGCUCCUUGCCAGUACUGGAGCAGUACUUUUCUCAGAGCAACUUAUUCUUGAGAUUUCCUUGACUCGUGACUUUCUCUUCUUUGCAUCCAUUUCUCAGAUGCUUGAAGGCUUUCACUGUCCUCAGGGCAUCACUGCAGCCAAGGACCAGCAUGGAGAGGAGACCCUGGGCCAGCUUCCUGAGGCCAAACGAUGCAAAAAUCAACAGAAACCACUUCAUCAGGAGAGACAAGCUAAGAAAGGGACUUGGUACCUGAAAACAGUAGUGCCCUAUAUCAACCAGUCCACCAUGUACCUCCUAAAUCUUUCGCUCAAUAGCAAGAAGUCAAAAAUAAAUAAGCAAGGAGCGUAGUCUGUGUACACUAGUGAGCUUAGCAGUUGAAAUCACUUCAUAGGGGAGCAUAAAUCCAAUAGCUAGAUAUGUUUAAAAGAGUAAAAAAAGUAAGGUCCAUUUGAAAUAGCACUGUGUGCCGAUACCAGUGACUAUGUAUCUGUCAGAAAUAGCUUUUGAACACCAUAAAUCAAUCCUUGCUAGAAGGAGAGGAGGUUUGGUCAAAGGAUAUGAAGGUGCAAUAACUCAUAAAGUCGCCUGCCUUGCAUGCAUGGGUAGGACACUUCUAGAAAAAUAUCAAGAUAAUGGAGUUAUUAUCUAGGUUUUUGUGGUGAAGAAGGGAUCUUAAAGAACUUUUUCUGCUCUCCAGGAAGCAAUAAAAGAGAGAUCUUGCAGCUAGUGCUGCUAAAGACGUAUGUUGGUUUUCAAUGCUACAGUCGAUGCUUUCAAGUGAGUUUAAUUGCAAUAGAGUGGGAAGUUAGCUCUCCCCUCACUGCCAUCUCUGCUCCACCCAGGAAAUGUGAAUAAACAGCAAAGAAUGUGAUUUUCACCACCCUACUCUUGUAGUGUGUGCCAGUACUGUUUCUUGGCACCAAAGGUAUUAACCGCCAUGUAAUUCAUCUCUGUCACUUGAUGAGUAGCAGAAUGCAUUGGAAGCUGUGGUUGCAAAGCCCGAGGUGAGGACACCGUGCAGGAGACUGUCAAGUCUAGAAUUUGGACUGAGACAUUUCCAAAAAAAGCACCACUUGAAGCAAUGCAACAGGAUGCAAUAAAUCAGUUGGCUUUUCCACCGUGUAGUAAAAACUGAAAUCUUCACCAUGUAAAUCCAGGCUUUAGUGCAGAAGAAUGGUACAUUUCUGAAAACAGCUCUUAUUCGCAUUCUGAUUCAGAGAUGAAUUAAAGUGAUCACCUUUAGGUGACUUACAUUUGGCCAGUAUGAAAUAAGUUUUUUUGGAGAUAGAUACAUUUCUUAUAGAAAGAGGAAAGUUAUUGAAUUCUCAUUGUACAGGAAAUACUAUUGAUCCUUGUGAGCACUCUGAGAGAAAUGUCAUGAACUGAGAGGGCCCUCGAGACUGUAUUUACUCUGACCAAUCUGCAGGAGUCGUUCAUUGAGGGAUAGGGUAAAAGCAUAUUAUUGCUUUUCUGUUGUUUAUACUGUACUUUCUUGUGGGGUAAAUGAAAAAGUCUUGACUUCAAAGCUGUCAGUCUAACAACCCUCACUAGAAUGAACACGGUUCUGAUGGAAAAUAAGAUUUUGUUAAAUUGAGCCACAAGGAAAAGGGGAAAAUAAAAGGAAAAAUGGGAUUUUAAAAUGAUGCCUUCACAGACAUAAAUACAACACAUAGCAUUUAUGAAGUAGAGGGAAAAUGCAAAAAUGUAUGUGAUUUUUUUCCUUACAGUAGGAUUAAGACACCUGAUUAAAUUUGUGCAAGAGAGACCUCAGUGUUUUGUUUAAACAAACGUUAGAAAAAAUCCUUACAGGAAAUGACUCAAAGUGACAUUUUGAUUGUUGCUUUUUUUUUCCUUGAUUAGGAGAAAAUUGAUCUUCAGAAAAGCGAUUGGAGCUGCAGGUUUCCUGCUGUGGGAGAACCCAGGCUACCUGGGAUGUGUUCAGACCACAACAACUCCGUGUCCUUCUUGUGCUGGGGGCCCCAGAACUGGAUGCAGUAGUCCACGUGGGAUCUCACGAGAGGAGAAUAGAGGGGCAGAAUCACCUCCCUCAACCUCCUGGUCACGUUUCUCUUGAUGCAAUACAGGAUAUGGUUGUCCUUCUGAGCUGCAAGCACACGCUGCUGGAUCAUGCUGAAUCUUUCAUCAAGUGACAUUCCCAGAUCCUUCUCCUCAGGGCUUCUCUCAAGCCAUUCUCUGCCCAACCUCUGUCUGUGCUUGGGAUUGCCCCAACCUGGGUCAAUUUCAAAUGUCAAGUCAAUUUCAAAGGUGAAGUUUUACCAUUGUCUUACUAUUUGCUAGCAAGAGUGUAUUUGUUUUUUUAGCAGUAGCUUCAGUUCACUCAGUGACUGCUCUGAGCCAUCAGUGGCAUCAGGCAUGCCUCUCUCAAGCAUGAAAACAGCCUCUUGGAACACAUGAAAUGUGAGGCCGUUUCCUUGUGAGUUAGAAAUAGCAGUAAGAGGAGGCAUCUUUGUUCUGUUGUGCUUUACUUCUUGUUUGAGAUUUUCGAGGGUUUUGUUUGUUUGUUGUUUUCCUAAUUCUGUUUUACUUCUCCUUGUCGCAUUAGUGUUCUUUGAGGUUGGUUAGGUGUUUUUUGUUUUGGUUUGGUUUGGUUUGGUUUUUUUUGCUGUUUUGUUUUGUUUCCUAACCACAAUGCUGAGGAGAAUCAUUCAGCCUCCAGCUAUUUUUUAUGAAAACUUCUGAAGAAGAUAUCUAGCAUGUGUCCCUUAACUGCUCUUGUUCAUUGCUGGCAAAUGCAUAGCUAAUGGUGGUGAUUAUAUUGAAAAUCAGUGUUCUGUAGCUGAGAAUUUGCUCUAUGAAAUAGUUUUAUUACUCUCUUUGUAUCUGUUGUCAUUUCCAUGGAAAUAAAUAGGAGGCAUUACUUUCAGAGUGACCUGCAUAUGUGAAUGGAGAAUAGAUACAUUUUCACUAAAUAUUCCAAAGCCAUCUCUGUGCAAUACCCCUGAUGUCUGUGCUGUCUUGAAAAGGUUGACCUUGUUGAUAUUCAAGAAGAUGAGUGUUAAAUGGCUUCAGUGUGAGGUUCUGUUGAAAUGAUAGAGAGAGUAGAUACCACUUCUUCUCUAGAAAUUAUUAGACUGCAUUUAUUAAACAACAGAAGAAUUUGGCAAAACAGAGCAUGUAAGCUGAGAAUAAGGGAACUUAGGUUUGUCAGCUGUAAUUAUGUUUAUGGAAGUUUCUUGUACUGUAUGUUCAUAGCUUCUUACACUCUAUACCAGAAGUCAUCAGUACCCAAUUGCGUAUCUGGCUCUUGCUGUCUUGUGAAAGACAUUCCCUUUUUGUGGAGACCUAUAGACCCUCUUCUUCCUAAGGAAUGGUUGCAUGUCCUAUUUUGGCAACCGCAUGAAAGGGGAGAUGUUGAAAUAAAACAUAAUUAGUAAUGAUUCUCCAGUAUCACCUGAUUACACCAGUAAUAAAAAUGUAUUUGGGUAAAAUUAGUAAAUUAAUGCAGAUUGAAAUAAUUGUCAGUAUAAAUGAUUUGGUUUGAGCUUUGCUAAACAAAUUGUGUGUUUUAACAGACAAACAGUUAUGGUUUAGUGCAAAAAGGAUUUUAAAAGUCAUUUUCAAUGCAUAGUCCCUAUCUAUCAGGGAGGAGAAAUAAGGGAAAUGACUCUUCAAGGCACCAAAUAUUUUUGUAUACAAAAGUAGAUUUCAUCUCAUAAAAUAAUUUUUGAAGAGAAAAACACUCCUCCCUCUUGCCCUGACCUCAGAUGGAAAGGAGAAGAGACACCUAUUGUGGUACAAUGUUGCUUGGGAAAACAUUGUGGCUGUCUGUGUUGAAGGAAAUGAAAAACCAUUAAAAGGAUAAUAGAAUAAAAGUGCAAUGAGAUGUUCGAAGGAUCCAUCAAUAAAAGGAUGGCAAGCAAUCGCUAAAGACAGCCCUUUCUAAAUGUAGUUUUAUUGCCAGAGGAUGGAAAAUUGAGAGAGAAUUUGCGAACAAUUGAAUUUAUGGUAAUGGCAUAUAAGCAUAUUGUACCACCAAAGCAAAGCACAGAGAGAGUAUAAAACACAAAAUACACCUAUGUCCCAUGGAAACGCUCGUGUUCUGCCUAUUAUCUCCUGGUAUUGCAAAAUGUAAUAUCCAGAUAUUAAAAUCAAAUAUAUUGUGAAAUGCAUUAGCAGUCGUUGACACGGAUGACAUUCUGCUCUGUGCCUGCUUUAAGGUGAAUUGCUGGACCAAAAGUAAUGCCAGAGGUGAGUGCAAAGGAGCUUGCUCCUGUGUGCUCAGGGCAACGUUGUUUCUUGGCUUCGGUGACAUCUGGGCAUCCCUGUGCUGGCUUAUGGGCAAAUCACCUGGGGAUAAUUUGAGUCAAUUUGGAUUUUAAGCCUUUUUAAAAUGCGCUGUUGCUCGGUCCGUAGAGCCGGCAGAGGUGACUGCUAAACAACAGGCAGGAAGAAAAUAAUUAACUGAUGGGCUGGGAGAUGGAGCCUGCCAGUAACCAGAUAAACCGGAAAGGAGAAGAACUUCUGCCACAGGACAGGCACAAAUAUCUGCUCUGUCCGAAGCCACAGACAAAGGCUGAUAGCGUGAAAAACCUGUGGCUGAAAAACCACAGGCGUCAGGGAACUAACUGUAUGCUUACAGUCAGCCUGCACUCGACCAGAAGGGCAGCCUUCAGGGAGGGAUGGGGAAGGCUUUCCUGUAAGACGCUUCGAUUUUCUUGCAUCUGUGGAGAAACUGCUGGCCUGCUUUCAAAGAGGAUAUCUGUGGGUGGUUUGGGUUUAGUUUUUACACCAUCUCCCUGCUUCACGGUACCAGCAGCCUGCUGUAGCACUGUGCCUCCCCUAGGGGCUGCAGGGUGGUGAGGUGUUGUUUCUGAUGCCCCAUCCCCACUGCUGCCCUCUCCCAUUGCUCUCGCUGCAGUGCUGCUGCCUGCAACAGGGGGACAACACAGCUGCAAAAGCAAUUGGGGAUUACUUUCUAGUGUUGUUUAGCUUUUUAAAGUGUAGUCCUUCCUACCACCAAGGAGAGCCUGCAAGCAAGUACUGGUGGGAUUAGAGAGCAUUGGGUUCUAGUGUUGGGUUCGAGUGUAGGCAGACAUGAGGUUAGAGAGUGUUGGCAGAUCUCGGAAUGUACCACCAACACACAGAAAUGGCAGAGCCAGCUUAUGACCCUGCUAAGACAAGUGGACAAGCCACCGACAGUUAAAAUACUACUAAGCCAAGACUCUGUUUUAAAGAUAAAGACUUCAGUGUUAACUUCUUUGUCAGCAGCACAGCAUUGUCUCUUUCCCUAAAAAUCUAAUUAGCAUGCAUCACAGUGUUGUUAUUAUUAAAGACUCUACCCCUCCUGAAAUAUAACAUUUCUGAUUUACAAUGUUUUGUUUGUUUCGCAUUGUUUCACCUGAAAUACGGUGACUGCUAAAUCUCUGGUAAGCCCUUAAAUGAGGGAGGAACAGCAAAAUGAGCUCUGCCGAAGGAUUUUAACCUAUCAUUCCAAGAGCAUAGUUAUCUUGGCAGCAAACAAGGAUUUAAGUACCUUUGAGACAUUUGACUUUAAUUGUGGAGGAAUGGCAUCAUCAGCUGCAAAAAGUUAAACCCCUCAAAAGCACUCUACUUUUUCAUUAGCAACUAUUUAGGUGAUAAUUAGCAGGAGGAGGACUGGAGGGAUGUCAAAGCAUGUGCAGAAUCACCUGGCCUUGGGAGGGUCAUAGGGCCUUUCAGAGAGUUCAUUUUGAGUUCCUGGAGGUCUACAGCAUGGAAACGUGAUGCUGUGGGCAGUCUGUAGCUUAGCUGAGAGGAGAAAAGUUAAAACCUGGCUCUGAAGAUAAAGCUGGGGAGCAAUUUGUGAGUAUAUUAAGAGCUAGAAUGGAAGUUGGUCGUGUCCUUUCACAGGGCAUGAUUCUUGGGGUUAUGUUAUUUCCCUCGCUAUCACAGUAGGCAUCCUAAGAGUUUGAUGUGCUGUUGUCUCAUGAGCAGCCCUGUAAGUGUAACAUAAAGCAUGGGGAGCUGGAGGAGGUAUUUUGAUAUUAGUUCAAGAUCUGCACCCUCUUUUCCCACACAACCAGAGCUCUUGUGAUAAAAGAUGUAUACAUACAGAAACAACAAUUAUUUUCUAGAUAAUUUCUUAUAAUAUGAAAAAAUGUGGAUAGUACUGACUACAUGUUCUGCAAGGAGCUAUGGUGGAAACCAUCAUGGAUUAAAUGCUCCCAUCUGUGGUACCUAGCUACUUGUGAAUGUUUCAGACCUUGUUUGUUAGGAAGCUGGACUUUCCAAGCACUGAUAUGCAUCCGUGGCUGCUGCUUUCUCCUCAGGAGCUGCCCCUCCCACUGGUCACUACAGCAUGGUGGUGGUUUGAUGUGUCCUUCCAAGGCUGGCCACUGUCAAUCACCAGCUUUGUGAUAAUGAGCGCUCAGCUGGCUGUCCUUGUUCUUCCCACCUCCUCCCAUUCUCCAGUCAGAAAUCCUGAUUUACUAAGCUGUCUUCAAGCACAAAUCUGAUUCAGUACUGUAUUUGUCAAUCCCAACUCCCUUCAUUCAAGCAGAAUGGCUGAAAAGCAGCAAACACAACUCUGCACCUGAUAGGGUCCAGCACUGUGGAAAUCAGUAUCUGAAGACUGGAGUCAGGCUCUCCUUCUAUACAAUUUAAAUAAGUUCUUUACAGAGGGAACUAUGCAUUUCCUUGUCAAUCACUGCCUUCUGCCAAGUACUCAGCUUUCAUUCUCUUCACCAUUAGCCCUGUCUUCAAUUUAUUCUGUAUAAAUUGAGAUGCUGUAAUUGGGCUUCUCUGGGUCUGCACAGCCUGUCUUCAAGUACCCCAAGUGUCUUUUCCAGUCUUCAAUUACUCCUCUGACAGACUACAGGCAUCCUGCCUUUUAGUUUAUUAGGCAGCUUCUUAUCUCAAUUGUAGUCUUAAAAAACUCCAUCAUUUCAGUUGCACAGCUCUAAUAAUUAGUUUCUGCUUUUCUGGUCUGGAUAGUGCUACUUUAGCUUUUAUAAAGAAAAUGGGAGAAAGAGCUGUAUGGCAGAAACCAUUACCUCUGGUAGCGCUCAGCCAUGUAGAGUGAGCACUCCAGUCAUAUGCAUCAGAUUCUGAAUCCUGUAAAGCUGUGGUGAUGAGCAGACAAACAACAACAACAAAAAGGUGCUAACAGGGGAUGAAAAGAUGAAUGAGGUGAGAUAGAUUACCUUUUCACAAAAAAUGCUCAUUGUAUCUUUCCAUUGCCAAUCUGUAGCAAUUAUAUUUUCAUUGGGAAGAUGAGCUUGAUCUGGGUUUAGAGAUGCACGUAUGAAUCUUAAUCAUGUAGCAAUAUAUGUAGAACAGGCUGCCAAAGUACAAAUAUUCUGAUUUUCACCUGCAAUAAUACCUGAAGUUAGAAUAAGAUUCAGCACUUCUAAAUGUUAUUUAACCUCCGGAAGAAGGAAGCCUGAUUUGAAUGCAUUGAGAUGCUAUGAACUAGAGGUGUUUUAAUCAGGUAUUCCCACCAGUGGGAAUCCAUAACUGCAACAAAUAUUCCUCCAGAUGAAUGAACACAAGGAUCACUUUUGGCCUUCAGCUGCCCCUACUCCUGACCAGCCACGUGACGCACUGCUGGGUCUUGCAGACAAGCCAUCUUCUGUGCCUAGAGAGAGUAUUGGGGUAUCUCCAUCCACUUCCAUCAUUUGUCAGGCUGCACCAAGCUCAUCGCCACCAGAGCUGGUCCAUCUUCUGACCAUUCACAGGCAAGCAAUUUGGAGCUCUUUUUUCUGGAGGCCAGCAAACAUGUGAUACCUCAUAUGAUGUGGAGUUCUAUGGGCACUACAGGAGCCUGACAAAAGGUUAAGUAAGACCCUUGCCGGGCAUUAUUUUAAUUACUCACAGGUACAGUGCAAGGUGGUGCCUGCCAAGGCUACUGCUCAUUUGGCUGUGCUUCAAUGUUGUUCAGGCAGGAGGAAGUUUUAAUAAAUUAUCAUCAAGCAGGGAACGUGGCUAUAAUACUGUGCCAUAGAAUGGAGAGUUUUACAGCUAUUUUCAGUCUUUCUGGGUCAUAUCUCAGCUUCCUUCCUUUGAACUCUUGUAAGGGAAUUCAGUCUAUGUACAACAUUAAGGGUUUUUUUUCCCCUUUGGCGGAGCCCUGAAUACCUUCAUUUUUCAAAUAGAGAGGCUGAUCCCAUAACUCAGAUGAGUUAGCUGCCUUAUGGGCAUGACACAUAAAGGCAGGAGAAACUGGCCUUUAUGUGCAGGGUCUGCGACCCAAAAAGCGUGACUCGCAUACUUAGUUUCCAUCCUCUUGACAAGUAGCCAGUUUCUGCAGUAAGAUGAAAUACAUCUCCUCUACACAUAGCUGCUACCAUUUUAAGGUUAAAUCUUGACAAACUCUGGAAGGCAGCAGGGAAAGUUCAGCUGUUAAAAAUGCAAUGGGGUUUUAUGGAAAGGCUUUCUGAGGAUGAUGAGCAUAUUGGCAGGAAAAACUAUCAGCGAUUUCAGUACAAGUUUUUUGGUGCCUGCAUUCCAGCUGUAAAAAAAUACACGUGCACCUGAAAGCUUUUUUCAGGACCAGAAAGCUAUAGACAUAAAACUAGCUGAGAGUUACGUGGUUGCAACUGAAAGCAUUCAGGCACAAAAUGUUUCCUUUGACCAAUUCUUUGUGCAAAUGGCAGGGAUGGUGAGUGCUUGUGGAACUUGCUUGUUUGAGAGACUGUUGGUGAAAUACAGUACUAGAGAUGCCAUACCCUAUGUUUUUUCCUACUUCAAAGCAGGGACAUUAGUGGAGAUGUGCAAACUGGGUCCUGUAUCUAACACGUUCAUGUGGUUGCAGUUUGUCCCUGGCACCCAGCAAGCAGAGCAGUGGCCACACUCCUUUACCUAUCUCUGGAUUUUACAGUGUUGUACAUGAAGUUAAUGAGAUUUGUCAUUAAAAAAAAAAAAAAGCAACACAUUGACCAUCUCUGUUAAUAAUUGACUUAAUGAGGCCCUAACCACCUUAUCCCAUCCUGGAGAAGUUAAUUGAGGGGAUUGUGUUUUUAAUCUGCUUUGAGAGCCCUAAUCUCAUGUUCUAGCACUGCCAAGACAGAGAUUGAUUGGUUGAUUUUGGUCUCUUGGAGCAAAAUAACAACCUCCUGAGACAGACAUUGGCAUUUUCCCAAAGAUUAACUACAUGGCAUAAGGAACCAGGAAAAAAAUGCAGUUUCCUUAGUGGUGUUCAAAUGUGGGUUGCUACACUGUGUUUCUGGAAAAUGCAAACCCAUAGAUGUCAGGCUCAUAGGUGUGCUGGGGACCUCCUUGCCAGAGUGCCCACCCAGCUACAUAAGACACUGCCCAAGGAGCUGGUCAGGGUGGCGUAAUAAAAUUCAAGUGUGAGAAGGAAAAUCCACCCCUACACAGAGAAAUUUCCUGGGGAAUUGCAGGAAAAAAAAUCUGGGGAUGUUGUCAAGAGAUAUGAUCUCCCAUUUUGUGCCAAUGCAAGAUCAAGAACACUUAAGCUAUUUGUUGGUCAAUGUUCUUUUAGAUAAUGAUUUGAAGUGUGAGAUAACUAAUGUACUUGUUCUGUUCAACACUACCCACAGUUCAUUUUGAGACAACCAAUUACUUCCCUAAAAAAACACUACUCAUUUCCUGGGGUCUAUGAUAUGGGCACUUCUCUAAUCAGGAAAAAAAUGGCAAUGAAACACAUUUGUUGCACCCAGUGUUUUCAAACACAUGUAGCAUCCACGCUGGUAUCACUAAACAUUUAUUCUGGUUAAACCGAUCAUAUCCAUAGAGUCUUUCUUUCCCUUUUGGUUUCGCAUAAGGAUUGUUAAGUCUUUCUGCUGUUCAAACCACUGAACUAUAUAUUAAUUUUCUUUGAACUUACGUUUAUUUUAUCAUGCACCAUAGUGUCUUCUGCUUCCUGGGAAUUACAGUCAGUGCAAAGCAGGAAGGCUGCCAGGGAAGUCCAAUAUCUGAGGGUGAUAUGAGAUUACAGCCCAAAUCUAAUAAGGAUAGAUUAGUUUUAUUUCUCAUUUAGCCACGAGCAUCACUAGUAGAACAAGAUAUUAAAUCAGACUUCUAAAAUUGUACCUGUGCUCUGAGCAGCUGGCCAGCUGCACUAGUCCCCAGCCUCAAUACUUUCUCUUGCAUCCUGAAAGACCACAGCCAAGGCUUUCCAGAAGCACUGCAAGCCAAAUGCCUCUCUGGAAUAUUCAGUGAAAUCAUUUUAAUGAACCCCAAAUGAUUCUGAACCAACACUUGUGCACAAAUCUACAGCAUGUCUAAAAUCUGUGGGAGCUUUCAUGCUGGUUUUCUUUUUUGGUAUAACUUUGUGACGGGCUUUUUUUCCUCCUUGUCAAGCACUUUACCAUAGAAAAACAUUUGUUAGAGAAAUAUACCACAUGAGUCAGUGCAAUU
ensembl:lncRNA